rnacentral:rRNA from 1 species
UGGGUCGCACUGGAAACUGGGGGACUUGAGUGCAGAAGAGGAGAGUGGAAUUCCACGUGUAGCGGUGAAAUGCGUAGAUAUGUGGAGGAACACCAGUGGCGAAGGCGACUCUCUGGGCUGUAACUGACGUUGAGGCGCGAAAGCGUGGGGAGCAACCAGGAUUAGAUACCCUGGUAGUCCACCCGUAAACGAUGAAUGCUAGGUGUUAGGGGUUUCGAUACCCUUGGUGCCGAAGUUAACACAUUAAGCAUUCGCCCUGGGGAGUACGGUGGCAAGACUGAAACUCAAAGGAAUUGACGGGGACCGCCACAACCAGUGGAGUAUGUGGUUUAAUUCGAAGCAACGCGAAGAACCUUACCAAGUCUUGACAUCCCUCUGAAUCCUCUAGAGAUAGAGGCGGCCUUGGGGACAGAGGUGACAGGUGGUGCAUGGUGGUCGUCAGCUGGUGUCGUGAGAUGUUGGGUUAAGUCCCGCAACGAGCCCAACCCUUGAUUUUAGUUCCCACCACUUAGGGUGGGCACUCUAGAAUGACUGCCGGUGACAAACCGGAGGAAGGCGGGGAUGACGUCAAAUCAUCAUGCCCCUUAUGACUUGGGCUACACACGUACUACAAUGGCUGGUACAACGGGAAGCGAAGCCGCGAGGUGGAGCCAAUCCUAUAAAAGCCAGUCUCAGUUCGGAUUGCAGGCUGCAACUCGCCUGCAUGAAGUCGGAAUUGCUAGUAAUCGCGGAUCAGCAUGCCGCGGUGAAUACGUUCCCGGGUCUUGUACACACCGCCCGUCACACCACGAGAGUUUACAACACCCGAAGUCGGUGGGGUAACCCG